rnacentral:rRNA from 1 species
AUUGAACGCUGGCGGCAGGCCUAACACAUGCAAGUCGAGCGGAUGAAGGGAGCUUGCUCCUGGAUUCAGCGGCGGACGGGUGAGUAAUGCCUAGGAAUCUGCCUGGUAGUGGGGGAUAACGUCCGGAAACGGGCGCUAAUACCGCAUACGUCCUGAGGGAGAAAGUGGGGGAUCUUCGGACCUCACGCUAUCAGAUGAGCCUAGGUCGGAUUAGCUAGUUGGUGGGGUAAAGGCCCACCAAGGCGACGAUCCGUAACUGGUCUGAGAGGAUGAUCAGUCACGCUGGAACUGAGACACGGUCCAGACUCCUACGGGAGGCAGCAGUGGGGAAUAUUGGACAAUGGGCGAAAGCCUGAUCCAGCCAUGCCGCGUGUGUGAAGAAGGUCUUCGGAUUGUAAAGCACUUUAAGUUGGGAGGAAGGGCAGUAAGUUAAUACCUUGCUGUUUUGACGUUACCAACAGAAUAAGCACCGGCUAACUUCGUG